rnacentral:rRNA from 1 species
GAUGAACGCUGGCGGCGUGCCUAAUACAUGCAAGUCGAGCGAACAGACGAUGAUCUUGCUCCUCUGACGUUAGCGGCGGACGGGUGUGUAACACGUGUAUAACCUACCUAUAUGUCUGGUAUAACUUCGGGAAACCGGAGCUAAUACCGGAUAAUAUAUUGAACCGCAUGGUUCUUUAGUUAAAUUCGUUUUUUCUGUCUCUUAUAGAUGUUUCCGCGCCGCAUUAUCUAGUUGGUAAGGUAACGGCUUACCAAGGCAACGAUGCGUAGCCGACCUGAGCGGGGGAGCGGCAACACGGGAAGUGAGAAACGGACAAGAGUACUACGGGAGGGAGCAGUAGGGAAUGGUCCGCAAUGGGGGAAAGCAUGACGGAGCAACGCCGAGUGAGUGAUGAAGGUCUUAGGAUCGUAAAACUGUGUUAUGAGGGAAGAAAAAAUGUGUAAGUAAAAAAGCACGUAUUGACGGUAACUAAUAAGAAAGCAACGGCUAACUACGUG